rnacentral:lncRNA from 1 species
AUUCUUAGUCUAUCAUUAAUAUUUUCUUGGUGGAACAUUUACUCAAAGCUGACAUUCUUCAGAGGUAUGUUAUCCAGUUUUGCUCAGUUCUGACUGGCUGUCCUACACUAAAACUUAUUUAUUAUUGCUUUCCUGAUAUAUGGGUCCUUCCCAUUAUCAGCUUGGAUGGGAUGGGAAAAACACUGAAAAGGAAUCUAACAGUGCAUUACAGUGAUCAAUGUGUGUGACUGGUGAACACAGUGUUGGCUCCAGCUGGAUCUUUGUUGUGUGAGAUUACCUUGGUGAUUGAUGGAUGAUUAAUCUGGAAAGCUGACCACUGGUUCCUUGUUGUUUGAGCUGCUGCCAUUGGGAAUGCUCAGCCUGGGGGAGAAACAGAAGAGUAAACGCUCUGAGAUCAGGGAGAGAGAGUCGCUGAAUAAGUAGUGUGUUGGUGCGAAGGAAUAACUAUGUGUUAAAAAGAGAUUUCAGAGAUUUUCAGCUUUUGGAAAGCUACAACAUCCCUCCUCCAACAGCGAGGUGACCAGAGGAACAUCACAGCCAGCCUAAUACCAGAGAGGAUCCAUCUUUAGGGUUUGGUGAUAUGGAUGACCGGGCCAAAGACGACCCAUGGAGAGUGUAUGAGGAGGAAAUCCCCAGCAGAACCAUUCGGUACGCUGACAGGAGUGCUGGUCUCCAGGACUCAUUGCAGCUUCAGCACCUGCAUCUCCUUAAGGACUUUUUCUCCAGACAGCGAACUCUAAACGUCCGCUCUCAAAGGAGAGUCAGGGACUCUAAAACUGGCUCUUCAGACCUGGAGCAGCUCAGAACAGCUCUGACUGCUGAGGUGGGGGAAGAGUCCUGGAACAGUUCAUUAGAGGAGCUGGUUAAUGAGCUGGACCUCUCCUGUGAAGGUGGUGAUGGGUGGGAGAAGCUUUGCACCUACGUUCUACAGAAAAGCGCCCAUAAUGAAGACUUAUCCGAGCCUAAACAAAGCAUCAUCAGCUCUGAUCCACUGAUACGCCACUGCCGACACGUCAAGCGGGAACCAGUAACUCGUAUAGUGGAAGUGAGUCAGCCACCGCCCCUGCGUUACAUCACCAUCAGCAAAGGGGGGACACUCACUGUGUGGAACAGCAGCAGUCUUCAGGCCAUCAGGUCUCUGGAGGUAAGAAGAAAAAAUAUGAAUGAAUACAUACAUAAAUGUAGAUAACACCAUUAUAUCAUUGCCAUUCCACCACAAUUAUAUAUCUUCCUCAUCCGCCUCUUUUCGAACUGCUGCUGAUGUAGCAUUACAGAGUAGCAUCACAGCGACUUGGUUCUGAUACAUCAGCUCACAGAUGCCUUGUGCUGAUCGACAUCACCCUAGGAAUGAUGAGGGUAAAGAGCGCCAUCUACUGUACCCACCCAGAGAGAGCAAGAACAAUUAUGCUCUCUCAGGGCUCCGGCAGCC